rnacentral:rRNA from 1 species
GCAAGGGUAANUCAAAGANUGNGGGGCCGGCNAAACAAUGAGCAUGGGUUUANUUGAUNCAACGGNAGANCCUACCCAGGCUNGAAGGUAGGGACANCUCCUGAAAGGGAGCCUCUNGUAGAGUCGCUAUAUAGGUGCUGCAUGGCUGUCGUCAGCUCGUGCCGUAGGUGUUGGGUUAAGUCCCGCAACGAGCGCAACCCUUAUCAUUAGUUGCCAGCAAUUCGGUUGGGAACUNUAAUGAGACUGCCUAGGUUAACUAGGAGGAAGGCGAGGAUGACGUCAAGUCCGCAUGGCCUUUAUGUCUGGGGCUACACCCGUGCUACAAUGGUCGGUACAGAAGGCAGCAAGACCGCAAGGUGGAGCAAAUCCCUAAAGCCGAUCUCAGUUCGGAUUGUAAUCUGCAACUCGAUUACAUGAAGUUGGAAUUGCUAGUAAUGACGUGUCAUCAAUAACGUCGUGAAUACGUUCCCGGGCCUUGUACACACCGCCCGUCACAUCAUGGAAGUUGGUUUUACCCGACGUCGCUGACUCAACCGCAAGGAGAGAGGCGCCUACGNAGGCCGANAUGGAA